rnacentral:rRNA from 1 species
GAUGAACGCUGGCGGCGUGCCUAAUACAUGCAAGUCGAGCGAACAGACGAGGGGCUUGCUCCUCUGACGUUAGCGGCGGACGGGUGAGUAACACGUGGAUAACCUACCUAUAAGACUGGGAUAACUUCGGGAAACCGGGGCUAAUACCGGAUAAUAUAUUGAUCCGCAUGGUUCAAUAGUGAAAGACGGUUUUGCUGUCACUUAUAGAUGGAUCCGCGCCGCAUUAGCUAGUUGGUAAGGUAACGGCUUACCAAGGCGACGAUGCGUAGCCGACCUGAGAGGGUGAUCGGCCACACUGGAACUGAGACACGGUCCAGACUCCUACGGGAGGCAGCAGUAGGGAAUCUUCCGCAAUGGGCGAAAGCCUGACGGAGCAACGCCGCGUGAGUGAUGAAGGUCUUCGGAUCGUAAAACUCUGUUAUUAGGGAAGAACAAAUGUGUAAGUAACUAUGCACGUCUUGACGGUACCUAAUCAGAAAGCCACGGCUAACUACGUG